GUCUUGGUGGCUCAGUAAAGUUGGCAGAGCGCUGGUGUAUUUAUCCAGAGGCCGUGAGUUCAAGUCUCACCCAAGGCA